rnacentral:rRNA from 1 species
UACGUAGGAUGCAAGCGUUGUCCGGAAUUAUUGGGCGUAAAGAGCUCGUAGGCGGUGUGUCACGUCGGCCGUGAAAACCUGCAGCUUAACUGUGGGCGUGCGGUCGAUACGGGCAUCACUGGAGUUCGGCAGGGGAGACUGGAAUUCCUGGUGUAGCGGUGAAAUGCGCAGAUAUCAGGAGGAACACCGGUGGCGAAGGCGGGUCUCUGGGCCGAUACUGACGCUGAGGAGCGAAAGCGUGGGGAGCAAACAGG